rnacentral:rRNA from 1 species
AGUGGCGAACGGGUGAGUAACACGUGAGUAACCUGCCCUUGACUCUGGGAUAAGCGUUGGAAACGACGUCUAAUACCGGAUACGAGCUGGGACCGCAUGGUCACCAGCUGGAAAGAACUUCGGUCAAGGAUGGACUCGCGGCCUAUCAGUUAGUUGGUGAGGUAACGGCUCACCAAGACGACGACGGGUAGCCGGCCUGAGAGGGUGACCGGCCACACUGGGACUGAGACACGGCCCAGACUCCUACGGGAGGCAGCAGUGGGGAAUAUUGCACAAUGGGCGCAAGCCUGAUGCAGCAACGCCGCGUGAGGGACGACGGCCUUCGGGUUGUAAACCUCUUUUAGCAGGGAAGAAGCGAAAGUGACGGUACCUGCGGAAAAAGCACCGGCUAACUACGUGCCAGCAGCCGCGGUAAUACGUAGGGUGCAAGCGUUGUCCGGAAUUAUUGGGCGUAAAGAGCUCGUAGGCGGUUUGUCACGUCUGCUGUGAAAACGCGAGGCUCAACCUCGCGCCUGCAGUGGGUACGGGCAAACUAGAGUGCGGUAGGGGAGAUUGGAAUUCCUGGUGUAGCGGUGGAAUGCGCAGAUAUCAGGAGGAACACCAAUGGCGAAGGCAGAUCUCUGGGCCGUAACUGACGCUGAGGAGCGAAAGCGUGGGGAGCGAACAGGAUUAGAUACCCUGGUAGUCCACGCCGUAAACG